GACGAACGCUGGCGGCGUGCUUAACACAUGCAAGUCGAACGGAAAGGCCCCUUUGGGGGUACUCGAGUGGCGAACGGGUGCGUAACACGUGAGUAACCUGCCCUUGACUUCGGGAUAACUUCAGGAAACUGGGGCUAAUACCGGAUAGGAAUCCUUGCUGCAUGGUGGGGGUUGGAAAGCUUCGGCGGUGUUGGAUGGACUCGCGGCUUAUCAGCUUGUUGGUGGGGUAGUGGCUUACCAAGGCGUUGACGGGUAGCCGGCCUGAGAGGGCGACCGGCCACAUUGGGACUGAGAUACGGCCCAGACUCCUACGGGAGGCAGCAGGGGGGAAUAUUGCACAAUGGGCGGAGGCCUGAUGCAGCAACGCCGCGGGCGGGAGGACGGCUUUCGGGUUGUAAACCGCUUUCAGCAGGGGCGAAGCUUGUGGUGACGGUACCUGCAGAAGAAGCACCGGCUAACUACGUG
rnacentral:rRNA from 1 species